rnacentral:rRNA from 1 species
AGCCCGCUCAGAACUCAAGGAAUUGACGGGGCCGCACAAGCGGUGGAGCAUGUGGUUAAUUCGAUGAUACGCGAGGAACCUUACCUGGGCUCAAAUGUAUGUUGACGUAUUCUGAAAGGGAUACUUCUUCGGACAAUAUACAAGGUGCUGCAUGGUUGUCGUCAGCUCGUGCCGUGAGGUGUCGGGUUAAGUCCCAUAACGAGCGCAACCCCUAUCAUUAGUUGCCAUCAGGUCAAGCUGGGGACUCUAAUGAAACUGCCUACGCAAGUAGUGACGGAAGGUGGGGAUGACGUCAAAUCAGCACGGCCCUUACGUCCAGGGCUACACACGUGCUACAAUGGCCGGUACAAAGGGCAGCUACCUGGUGACAGGAUACUAAUCUCAAAAGCCGGUCUCAGUUCGGAUCGGAGUCUGCAACCCGACUCCGUGAAGCUGGAUUCGCUAGUAAUCGCGCAUCAGCCAUGGCGCGGUGAAUACGUUCCCGGGCCUU